rnacentral:rRNA from 1 species
AUUGAACGCUGGCGGCAGGCCUAACACAUGCAAGUCGAGCGGAUGAAGGGAGCUUGCUCCUGGAUUCAGCGGCGGACGGGUGAGUAAUGCCUAGGAAUCUGCCUGGUAGUGGGGGAUAACGUCCGGAAACGGGCGCUAAUACCGCAUACGUCCUGAGGGAGAAAGUGGGGGAUCUUCGGACCUCACGCUAUCAGAUGAGCCUAGGUCGGAUUAGCUAGUUGGUGGAGUAAAGGCCUACCAAGGCGACGAUCCGUAACUGGUCUGAGAGGAUGAUCAGUCACACUGGAACUGAGACACGGUCCAGACUCCUACGGGAGGCAGCAGUGGGGAAUAUUGGACAAUGGGCGAAAGCCUGAUCCAGCCAUGCCGCGUGUGUGAAGAAGGUCUUCGGAUUGUAAAGCACUUUUAGUUGGGAGGAAGAGCAGUAAGUUAAUACCUUGCUGUUUUGACGUUACCAACAGAAUAAGCACCGGCUAACUUCGUG